rnacentral:rRNA from 1 species
UACAGAGGUCCCAAGCGUUGUUCGGAUUCACUGGGCGUAAAGGGUGCGUAGGUGGUCGGGUAAGUCUGAUGUGAAAUCUCUGGGCUCAACCCAGAAAUGGCAUUGGAUACUAUUCGGCUAGAGGAGUGGAGGGGGGACUGGAAUACUUGGUGUAGCAGUGAAAUGCGUAGAUAUCAAGUGGAACACCAGUGGCGAAGGCGAGUCCCUGGACACUUCCUGUCACUGAGGCACGAAAGCUAGGGGAGCAAACAGG